rnacentral:lncRNA from 1 species
UCACGUAGUCGCGUUUUCGAUUCUGCAAGAUAUGUGAAGAAACGCGACUUCAUAAAACGCGGCUUGAUGGCGCGUUUUGAUGAGUCGCGUUUUCUGAGCACCCUUUUUUUUUUUAAAAAAAAAAUGCAGCUUCCUUGAUUCUCUUUUUCUUCUUUUCCUCAUAUAUUUUCUUGUACCUUGAGUUGCUUAUUGUGUAUUUUUUUUAGGUACAUCACGAAAACAAAGCAUUGAAAUUACGGAUCGCCGUUUUGUUUUAUUAAGCCUUUGUUAUCACUUUUGUUUCUUAUUUUUCAUUUUUAGGAUUACAUCACUAAUGGUUAUCCAAUGAAACUCAUGAAGCGUUGGAGAUACACGGACAAUGGAUUUUGAAGCUUCAUAUUCAAUCGCAACAAU